UAAGGAAUAUUGGACAAUGGGGGCAACCCUGAUCCAGCCAUGCCGCGUGAAGGAUGAAGGCCUAUGGGUCGUAAACUUCUUUUAUAAGGGAAAUGGUACGGAUUAAUACUCUGUGGUCUUGAUUUAACCCAAAGAAAAAGCACCGGCUAACUCU
rnacentral:rRNA from 1 species